rnacentral:rRNA from 1 species
GUUUGAUCAUGGCUCAGAUUGAACGCUGGCGGAAUGCUUUACACAUGCAAGUCGAACGGCAGCACGGGAGCUUGCUCCUGGUGGCGAGUGGCGAACGGGUGAGUAAUGCGUCGGAACGUACCGAGUAAUGGGGGAUAACGCAGCGAAAGUUGUGCUAAUACCGCAUACGCCCUGAGGGGGAAAGCGGGGGAUCGUAAGACCUCGCGCUAUUCGAGCGGCCGACGUCUGAUUAGCUAGUUGGUGGGGUAAAGGCCUACCAAGGCGACGAUCAGUAGCGGGUCUGAGAGGAUGAUCCGCCACACUGGGACUGAGACACGGCCCAGACUCCUACGGGAGGCAGCAGUGGGGAAUUUUGGACAAUGGGGGCAACCCUGAUCCAGCCAUUUCGCGUGAGUGAAGAAGGCCUUCGGGUUGUAAAGCUCUUUCAGCUGGAACGAAACGGUGCGCUCUAACAUAGCGUGCUAAUGACGGUACCAGCAGAAGAAGCACCGGCUAACUACGUGCCAGCAGCCGCGGUAAUACGUAGGGUGCGAGCGUUAAUCGGAAUUACUGGGCGUAAAGCGUGCGCAGGCGGAUUGUUAAGCAAGAUGUGGAAUCCCCGGGCUUAACCUGGGAAUGGCAUUUUGAACUGGCAGUCUAGAGUGUGUCAGAGGGGGGUGGAAUUCCACGUGUAGCAGUGAAAUGCGUAGAGAUGUGGAGGAACACCGAUGGCGAAGGCAGCCCCCUGGGAUAACACUGACGCUCAUGUACGAAAGCGUGGGUAGCAAACAGGAUUAGAUACCCUGGUAGUCCACGCCCUAAACGAUGUCAACUGGUUGUUGGGGGAGUGAAAUCCCUUAGUAACGAAGCUAACGCGUGAAGUUGACCGCCUGGGGAGUAC